CUAUAAACAAUGGUUAGUUACGCAUCACAUAUAGAUGAGCACAAUCAUUUCUCAAUACAAUUAAGACAUUUAAUUUUUACUAAGUUGUGUUGUCUUUUGUUUCUAUCUUCCUAGAGAGAGAAAGAACAUGCGUGUUUAUACAUUGAGUGUGCAUGUUGUUGAUUAGCUGCGCAGACUCAAAAGAGUUGACAAUCACUUUACUAUUGAACACGUCAUCAGGGGAGAGCGCGAACGCAGUCCCCCACUACCAGAAAUUAUGCAGUCGAGAUUCCCACAUUUGGGGAAUUCGCAGAGGUCAGCUCAGCCGGAGUGCAAUGGUUAAGCCUCGCCCUGGGUGAACCACCUUCUUGAUCAUGGUAUCUCCCCUGCCAGGUAAGUAUGAGUUGUACACGUCGGAGGUGAGCGACUCUUUCACGGACAGACCGAGCUCACCGACGGUGCCGUGGCCAUAUGAACGCACGCUGCGAUCGGCUCUGAAGUGAGACAGCGUCGAGUACUUUGAGGACAUUUAUCUUCGGAAGGAUUUGACCCUGAAUGCGCGACAAAUUUGACACGUUUUUAAGUUUAUUUUCUUCUUCCCAUAAUGCAUUGCCAGUUAUACGCCGGAGCUUUUUAAAAAUGACUAUUACCGUUAUUACGUGAAAACGAUCCGGCAAAUUAAAAUAAAUAAAUAAAUAAAUAAAAAACAAUUCUGAUUAACACAUUGAAUAUAAUAUCGACAAUUAGCUUGUUUUUAGCAUUCUGUAUAGCGAAAAUGUCAAAUGUUUUUCAUUUCCGCAUAUGGGGGCUGCGCAUGCGCCAUAGAGAAGCGGUGAAAGGUUAUACUUUAAUUAUUCUGCAUCUUAAUUGACUCUUUCACUGAGCCUUUACUCAUGUUUCACUAACAAAUGAAGUAAUUUAUUCAGUUAAAACAUUGACAGUUUUGUGUUAAAAGAUUUAACAAAGCAAACAGCUGCAGUAAAACACGUUCAGGUGGAUUACCGAGCGAGCUGCAGAAACUUCCUCUGUCAUGUGUAUAAACAGUCGGUGCAAUAAAUACAGUUUGUAUGAGGGACAGCUUGUGCCACGGGUCAAGUCCUCUUCAGCCCACAAAAUUAAUUAGACGUUAAUUAGACUAGACAGCCGCCAUAUUAGCUCCAUUUUAACGCUUUUCAUUGUGUUGUUUUAUCCACCUGCAGGAUGAAAGAAACAAGUUAUUUUUUAAGUUUUAAAGCAGCACAAAAUAUCCCCGGAGGCUGCCAAAACCAGCUGUGUCAUUAAUGUCUCGCAAGUUAAUUUGUUACGCAACGGGGGGAAAAAAGCUGCACCCUUGGCGUUUGGUUCUGUUGACAUUAGAGACCUGUUUUCCUGCAAAUAAAGGAUAAAUCAAGUAAAUUAGCUUACUCAAAGCCGCAGUUUGGUCCUGAAGCAUCGCCCCACAAACAACGGGAAGUAAAUGCUCCAGGUCCGAGGCCCCCUGUCCUGCCAGAGAGCAGCAGUCAGUCACGUUAUGCAAAUGAGUUCACCUCUCCACCUCUGCGUGCAUCAGGGUGUGGAGGGCACUUCAGCACAAAAUGAAAACAUCUGUAUCAAAAGAGGUAAUGCAUCACAUUUUAUAUGUUCAUCACUGAAUUUUAAUUGUUGCAUUUUACAGUGAAAUUACUAUUAUCAAAUAAUCUGUUAAAUAGUAACUAAUUCUCAUUAAAACAGUACGUCCGAUGGUCAUUUCCUCAAGAUUAUACAAAUAGCAACAAGAAGAAAAUGUUCAGUUUAUGUUUGAAACAGUAAGUUAGAAUGAAUUUUUAAAAACUAUCAAAUCUAUUUAUUGAAUCUGUAUUACUGUAAAUAUAGAUAAUGAAGUCUGCAGUCUGACUUGACUACUACAUUCAUACAAGGCAAAAUGAUGACCGUCUGUCAGUUUCCUGUUUUUGUUCUGUAUCAACCACAAAAUGUGCUUUUACUCAGGACACCAAACCGUAGAUGUUUCAGACAGUCAGCUACUGUGGUUGUGAAGUUAUUACCAGUUAAAGUAUGUUGCAAUGCUGCUCACAACGCUUGCAAACUCAUGUUGCAUUGAUCUAGUGAUCUGUACGCUUAGCAGUAAGCAUUCAAACUCGUGCAAAUAUGAGGUGGCUGCAUUCAGAGGGCUAGAAAUGUGAUUUUGCACUUUAAAGGUAAGAAUUUAGCGAGCCAAUUUGGCUCUUUGCAUUAAGAGUUUUGCACAUUGAAACACUGUUGGGGAAAACUUUAUUAGUCCUCGUGGAUCCGGAUCAGAACCGACCUGAGCAUGUCGACACGUUUGACUCCUCUGAUCAAGUCCUCUCAAUAUACACUGUGCAAGGAACAGAUUUACUGAAGGAUACAAAUACAGACAACAAGCACA